AGUUUGCCGUUCACCCGGAGCGCUCGGGACUUGCCGAUAGUGGUGACGGCGGCAACAUGUCUGUGGCUUUCGCGGCCCCGAGGCAGCGAGGCAAGGGGGAGAUCACUCCCGCUGCGAUUCAGAAGAUGUUGGAUGACAAUAACCAUCUUAUUCAGUGUAUAAUGGACUCUCAGAAUAAAGGAAAGACCUCAGAGUGUUCUCAUUGGAGAUUGCCUAUUCAUUGCCUUCUCUAUAUGCUGUGUCCUGAUAGAUGGGUAGUAUAAACACAGUGGGCCUAAGUUGUUGGUCAUUGCUACAGUAGUGAAAAGGAAAAAAAGGUAUCAGCAGAUGUUGCACACAAACUUGGUAUACCUUGCUACAAUAGCAGAUUCUAAUCAAAAUAUGCAGUCUCUUUUACCAGCAGUGUGAUUCAAGUAAGGUGAAGGAACACAUGCUUAGAGCUGUGGAACAUUUUGAAGAUUAGCAGCCACCCACACAGAAUAUGCCUAUGGGUCCUGGAGGGAUGAAUCA
rnacentral:lncRNA from 1 species